rnacentral:rRNA from 1 species
AACGCGAAGAACCUUACCAGGUCUUGACAUCUCCUGACCGCCCUGGAGACAGGGUCUUCCCUUCGGGGACAGGACGACAGGUGGUGCAUGGUUGUCGUCAGCUCGUGUCGUGAGAUGUUGGGUUAAGUCCCGCAACGAGCGCAACCCUUGGUUCUAGUUGCCAGCAUUCAGUUGGGCACUCUAGAGCGACUGCCGGCGACAAGUCGGAGGAAGGUGGGGAUGACGUCAAAUCAUCAUGCCCCUUAUGACCUGGGCUACACACGUGCUACAAUGGAUGGUACAAAGGGUUGCGAAGCCGCGAGGCAGAGCUAAUCCCAGAAAACCAUUCUCAGUUCGGAUUGCAGGCUGCAACUCGCCUGCAUGAAGCCGGAAUCGCUAGUAAUCGCGAUCAGCAUGC